AUGGACGUGGCCUCGGUGCUUCUCCCCUUCGUCCUGGCGCUGGUGGCGAUCCCGAUCUUGCUCGCGCUACACGACUGGCCACGCCUCCCACCGGGCCCGUGCCCGUGGCCGGUGGUGGGCAACCUGCGCCAGAUCAAGCCCGUGCGGUGCCGCUGCUUCCAGGAGUGGGCGGAGCGGUAUGGGCCAAUCUUCUCUGUGUGGUUCGGCUCCUCCCUCACCGUCGUCGUCUCCACGCCAGAGCUGGCAAAGGAGGUGCUCAAGGACCACGACCAGCAGCUCGCCAACCGCACCCGCAACCGCUCCACCCAACGCUUCAGCCGCAACGGCCAGGACCUCGUCUGGGCCGACUACGGCCCGCACUACAUCAAGGUGCGCAAGCUGUGCAAUCUCGAGCUCUUCACGCAGAAGCGACUCGAGGCGCUCCGCCCCAUCCGGGAGGACGAGGUCACCGCCAUGGUCUCGUCCGUCCACCGCGCCGCCACCGGCCCCGGUAAUGAAGGAAAGCCACUGGUUGUCAGGAGUCACCUUGCCAUGGUGUCUUUCAACAAUAUAACAAGGCUAGUUUUUGGGAAGCGGUUCAUGAAUGCAAAUGGUGACAUUAACGAAGAAGGGCAGGAGUUCAAGAGUAUUGUCAACAACGGUAUCAAAAUUGGUGCAUCUCUCUCUAUUGCUGAAUAUGUUUGGUACUUGAGAUGGUUGUUUCCACUUAAUGAGGAGCUUUACAAGACCCACAAUGAGAGAAGGGAUCAGCUGACCAAGAAGAUCAUAGAAGAGCAUGCGAAGGCCCUCAAGGAGAGUGGUAGCAAGCAUCAUUUCGUGGAUGCACUGUUGACUCUCAGAGAACAGUAUGACCUCAGUGAUGACACAGUUUUCGGACUUCUAUGGGACAUCAUCACUACUGGCAUGGAUACAACAGUCAUAUCAGUCGAGUGGGCAAUGGCAGAGCUGGUCAGGUAUCCCAGGGUGCAGAAGAAGCUACAAGAGGAGUUGGACAGUGUCAUCGGCCGUGACCGCAUCAUGUCUGAGACAGACUUCCAAAACCUGCCGUACCUGCUAGCCGUCGUCAAAGAGUCCCUCCGGUUGCACCCAGCAACGCCGCUCAUGCUACCCCACAAGGCCAGCGCAAGCGUCAAGGUCGGCGGCUACAACAUCCCAAAGGGUGCCGAUGUCACGGUGAAUGUGUGGGCGAUCGCUCGCAACCCCGAUGUGUGGAGCAACCCGCUGGAGUACAGGCCGGAGCGUUUCCUGGAGGAGAGCAUUGACAUCAAGGGUGGUGACUUCAGGGUGCUCCCCUUCGGCGCGGCCGGAGGGUGUGUCCUGGCGCGCAGCUGGGAAUCAACCUUGUGGCCUCCAUGCUCGGGCACCUUCUGCACCAUUUCGAGUGGUCUCUGCCAGAAGGUACCAUGCCGGAGGAUGUUGACAUGA
rnacentral:rRNA from 1 species